rnacentral:lncRNA from 1 species
GGGGCUAACGUGUAAAACAGCAGGUGAUCCACCGGUGGCCCUGGGAGUGGAUUUGUGCUUCUGUUUAUAGAAGUGCCUAUUCUGAAAAUUCACCACAGAAUUUUGAAAUCAACUUUUAAUGAGGACAACUCAGAAGGGCCUGAAAAGCAGGGUCUCUUCCCCUCCUUGUCCUCCCCCUCCACCCCCAUCCUGUCCCGAGUCCUCCUGUGGGGUGACAGCCUCAUCCAUUACAGAGCAAGCCAAGGAGGAGACGGAUUAAAAGCCAAAGGCAGAGAAAACUUCAGAAGUUCAUUUUUCUAGUUGGUGGAUGUGAUGCAGCAGUGAAGACACUGACCCGAUUAAAAGUUCAGAGGGCUGCAUAUAAUGGCCUCUCCUGUACGUUUAUAUUAGGAAAAGUGUGUUACCAGCUCCCCCAAAGUGCAGAGUCUCCCCGAAGUAGAGGUCGAAGAGUGGUUUUUUCAGAUCAUGAGUCAACAUCAGCCAAGAGGGAUGAAUCACGAUCUUCUUGGGAGAUUCGCAGGCAGGCACACUGGGCUGGGGGAUGCUGCGCACUGCAGUGGCCCUGGGUCCUUGUGACAGACGGGAGACACAGCCUCAGAAGGACAGGCAGAGCCACCAUCAAGCUGUCCUCCGAGCUUUAUCUCGGGCUGUGUUCUGAAAGGGGGCAGGGGGCGGCGGGGCGUUGCUCUCCUGUGCUGGUGAGGAAGUUCAGAAAGUGUGUUUGAACAUACACAUGCCCAGGCAGGAGAAAGAUUCUGUCUUCCCAAUGCUCUUGUCCCAUCUGAAUGUGAAAUUAAAAGUGAUUGGCUGCAGGAGUUCCCAUCCUGGCUCAGCAGUAAUGAACCCCACUAGGAUCCAUGAGGACUUGGGUUCCAUCCUCAGGCUCGCUCAGUGGGUUAAGGAUCCGACAUUGCCAUGAGCUGUGGUAUAGAUCACAGGUGCGGCUUGGAUCCAGUGUUGCUGUGGCUGUGGUAUAGGCUGGCAGCUGCAGCUUUAAUUCAACCCCUAGCCUGGGAACUUCCCUGUGCCCUGGAUGUGGCCCNAAAAAAAAAAAAGACUGGGAGUUCCCUUCGUGGCUCAGUGGAAAUGAAUCUGACUAGGAUCCACGAGGACACAGGUUUGACCUCUGGCCUCGCUCAGUGGGUUAAGGAUCUGGUGUUGCUGGGGUGUAAAUCAGAUUCCUGAAACAGACCUGGGGCCGAGGGGACCUGCCCCAGAGUGGUUUGCAAAUGCUAGAUAUAGGCUAAGUUCCUCUUAAAGUCUUGGGGUGGGGGCAGGGAGGGGCAUUUUCCAGAGAUCAGUUUGCCUUAGAAAAUUCCCGGUUCACCCUCGCUUUCCAGCCUUCACCCCCAUACAUACCCUCCCUCGGCAUCAUCUGGGGAAAGCUCUUCCUCCAGGGUUCUGGCUUUGGGGGCCGAUAGACACUAAGUCCGCGUCAAAAUGAUUCUUGAUAAAGGCAUCCUAGGUGUUAAAAGUUUCUUUUAAGAGGGAUGUUCUACUUCUGAGAGCUUAGAGAACAAAUGGCAUUUCAUGCAGAGCCUUUUACCAGUCAUGGUGUGAGUGUCUUUAGGCUUUUUUUUUUUUUUUUUUUGGCUCUGCAGCAGCCAGCUAACAAAGUGUGUUCCUGACAAGAGUGCAGAAAUGAAGAAAUAAACAAAAAGCCAUGUUAAUUUCAAGCUUCAGUAGGAAUACAAAAAGAAAUAUUCACAUUUGCUGAAUGACAAAUAAUGAAAACGGCUGGGAAUGUUUAACGCUUCUAGCGAGGUUUUGUAAGCACCCCUGGAAUUUUCUCCCGGUCCAGUAUAGCGCAUUUAUAACCGGCAGGGCCCCUGUGACGGCGUUUUGAUAGGAGGUCUAAUUUAAAGAGGGGUCCGUCCCAGCACUCGGCGUCCCUCAUAGGAUUCCCAGCCCAGCCCGUGUGCACCUCCCUCGUCUACCCCGGAGCAGUGGCAUCGCCUUGGUGUGAUCUUGCCAAGUGCUGCUCUGCAAAGUACGUCGCCGCGCCCAGGAAGGACGGUCACAGGGCUGUUGUUUUGUUAUCAUUGUCGUUCGAUAUAUGUAAAGAAACACGUAGAUGAGCCUCCAGCUCCUACUCAUUUCCUGUUUGGUUUUCAGUCAUGUUCUUUAUGAAUCUGUCCCCUCACCGUAACAAAGUAUGUUACACAUUGAGACAUCGCAAAGCUCGAAAAUGUUGUGACUGUGUCGGACAGACCUAAGGCACUGUUCGUUUCAAUGUGCUUUAAUUCGCUUGAGCCAUUUCAAGAAUUGGUAGUUUUUUCAGUACCCACUGCAUGUGAGGGGCCUUGGUGCCUCCUCCGGAGAGGCCUUUAUUCCAGGGUGUCGAUAGCGAAGCAGGAGGUGUUUCGUUGUAGAGAGAAGGUGCCAGGGCAAGUCAGAGGCAGGGCUCCUUCCUCCUGCUGAAUUCUCUUCACCCACCUGUCAGCCCAGUAGACACAAGCUCACACACGAGACUGGCCUUUCACUUUGCAUACCCAGCACUGAGCACCCACUGGCAGCCGACAGGUGUCCGUCCACGCCAUGUCCAUGGCCAGGUGUCCAUGGCUACUUCUGCACCAUGUUGGCCAAGGUGAGUUGCAGCAUGUGGCCUGAAAGCCAAAAAUAUUUCUUAUGUGUCCCUUUACAGGGGGCUGCCAGCCUCUACCCAGAGGAACGAGCAGGGAUGAGUACGGUUACGACAGGACCAUUAGGAACGGUGACAGCCUGUGCUUGGUUCCCUGAGCACACGACUGACCUGAUGGACCUGUGGGUCGGGAACGUUACCAGGGAGUGGUUCAUAGUGGAGAAGGAACUGAGUGUAGGAAAGGCACUGGGGAGCUUAGUCCACACACCUGUUGAAGCAUCAGGGCGGGAAGUACAUGGUUUUGAGUCUCAGCUGAGAGGUGGCUUGGCACACUUUAUCCCUGGACUAGAAACCCUUACCCCCAGAGUCCCUUCGUGGCUCAGUGGAAACAAAUUUGACUAGCAUCCAUGAGGACACAGGUUCGCUCCCUGGACUCACUCAAGGGGUUAAAGAUCCAGCGUUGCCGUGAGCUCUGGUGUAAGUCACUGACGCGGCUCGGAUCUGGCAUUGCCAUGGCCAUGGCGUAGGCCAGCAGCUACGGCUCUGAUUCGACCCUUAGCCUAGGAGCCUCCAUAUGCCUUGGGUGUGGCCCU